UGGCCUAGGAGGAUAUCAUUCACAAAAUACCAUCUUUCGGGACUGAGUGGUAUUUAAGCCUUGCUGAAAUUCUGCAAUUCUGAGGCCU